UUAACUGGAGGAGGGUGGGGAUGACGUCAAAUCAUCAUGCCCCUUAUGACCUGGGCUACACACGUGCUACAAUGGGAAGUACAACGAGUCGCUAGACCGCGAGGUCAUGCAAAUCUCUUAAAGCUUCUCUCAGUUCGGAUUGCAGGCUGCAACUCGCCUGCAUGAAGCCGGAAUCGCUAGUAAUCGCGGAUCAGCACGCCGCGGUGAAUACGUUCCCGGGCCUUGUACACACCGCCCGUCACACCACGAGAGUUUGUAACACCCGAAGUCGGUGAGGUAACCUUUUUGGAGCCAGCCGCCUAAGGUGGGAUAGAUGAUU
rnacentral:rRNA from 1 species